rnacentral:rRNA from 1 species
AUACAGAGGGUGCGAGCGUUAAUCGGAAUUACUGGGCGUAAAGCGCGCGUAGGCGGCUACUUAAGUCAGAUGUGAAAUCCCCGGGCUCAACCUGGGAACUGCAUCUGAUACUGGGUAGCUAGAGUUUAGGAGAGGGAAGUAGAAUUUCAGGUGUAGCGGUGAAAUGCAUAGAGAUCUGAAGGAAUACCAGUGGCGAAGGCGGCUUCCUGGCCUAAAACUGACGCUGAGGUGCGAAAGCGUGGGUAGCAAACGAGAUUAGAAACCCCGGUAGUCC